rnacentral:rRNA from 1 species
CCGGCCGUCUGAUUAAAUGUCAUAACGACUCUCGGCAACGGAUAUCUCGGCUCUCGCAUCGAUGAAGAACGUAGCGAAAUGCGAUACUUGGUGUGAAUUGCAGAAUCCCGUGAACCAUCGAGUCUUUGAACGCAAGUUGCGCCCGAAGCCGUCAGGCCGAGGGCACGUCUGCCUGGGCGUCACGCAUCGCGUCGCCCCCCUCCCCUCGCACCGCUU